rnacentral:rRNA from 1 species
UACGGAGGGGGCUAGCGUUGUUCGGAAUUACUGGGCGUAAAGCGCGCGUAGGCGGUCCUGCAAGUCGGGGGUGAAAGCCCGAGGCUCAACCUCGGAACUGCCUUCGAUACUGCGGGUCUCGAGUCCGGGAGAGGUGAGUGGAAUUCCUAGUGUAGAGGUGAAAUUCGUAGAUAUUAGGAAGAACACCAGUGGCGAAGGCGGCUCACUGGCCCGGUACUGACGCGGAGGCGCGAAAGCGUGGGGAGCAAACAGG